GCCUACGACCAUAUCACCCUGAAUGCGCCCGAUCUCGUCUGAUCUCGAAAGCUAAGCAUGGUCGAGCCUGAUUAGUACUUGGAUGGGAGACUGCCUGGGAAUACCAGGUGUUGUAGGCU
rnacentral:rRNA from 1 species